rnacentral:rRNA from 1 species
UACGGGAGGCAGCAGUGGGGAAUAUUGCACAAUGGGCGCAAGCCUGAUGCAGCCAUGCCGCGUGUAUGAAGAAGGCCUUCGGGUUGUAAAGUACUUUCAGUCGUGAGGAAGGUGUUAAGGUUAAUAACCUUAGCAAUUGACGUUAGCGACAGAAGAAGCACCGGCUAACUCCGUGCCAGCAGCCGCGGUAAUACGGAGGGUGCGAGCGUUAAUCGGAAUUACUGGGCGUAAAGGGCACGCAGGCGGUUAAUUAAGUUGGAUGUGAAAUCCCCGGGCUUAACCUGGGAAUGGCAUUCAAGACUGGUUAGCUAGAGUCUUGUAGAGGGGGUAGAAUUCCAUGUGUAGCGGUGAAAUGCGUAGAGAUGUGGAGGAAUACCGGUGCGAAGGCGGCCCCUGGACAAAGACUGACGCUCAUGUGCGAAAGCGUGGGGAGCAAAC